AAGAUAGGAUUUGUUUAAUAGAGUUUUAAUAAGAUUCUAAUUAAAUAAAUUAGUAUCCUAAUAGGAUUCCAAGUCAUUUUCCAUAACUCUAUAAAUAGGUGCCUAGGGUCACAUAUUUACAUCGAGAAUUGAAGUAUUCAAAGGUAAGAUUUUCAAGCAAAAAUCAGCCACAAACACUUGCCCUAUUAGCCGAAAUUUAUAUAACCUUAAGGGCAAUUCUAGUUGGUCAAGCUUAAGGCGGAUCCGGACGUGCUGUGGACUAUCUACGGAGGGACGACACUUGGAGUCCUAAAGACUUGUUCUUGUUCGGUUCGGGCGCAGCUAGGGAGGGCACGCUACAAAGUAUCCGAACGUGCUGUGGACUAUCUACGGAGGGACUACACUUGGAGUCUUAAACUUGUUCUUGUUCGGUUCGGGAGCAGCUAGGGAGGGCACGCUACAAAUGGUACCUUCAAACUCAAUUUCGACGGCUCUUGCAAUUCUUCAUCAGCAGCAGCUGGUUUUAUCAUACGCGACAACAACGUUACCCCUAUCAGGAUUCAUACUUACAACCUAGGCCGUACGCAAGCUUUCAUGGCAGAAGCUUGUGCCCUCCACAAAGGCCUCAAAGAAGCGAAGAAUCUCAACAUAAAAAACAUUUCUAUUGAAGGUGAUAACCUAUUACUCAUGAAUGCAGUCAAAGGAACCUGGAACAUCCCUUGGAAACUCCACUAUAUUAUUCAGGACAUACAGGAUAUUCUCAACUUUUUUGACAAUUGGGAUAUCAAGCACGUCUUCAGAGAAGCAAAUCGAGCAGCGGAUUGGAUAGCAAAUGUAGGACAUUUAGUUAGUAAUACUAUGUGUAUUGAAUCUUGUAAUAGUCCCCAAUUACUUUCCAUUUUAGAUAGUGAUUACUUAGGAGAAACCCUCGUGCGGAGGGGCUCCUAAGGUACUUUCUCCUUACCUUUCCAAAAAAAAAAAUGUC